rnacentral:misc_RNA from 1 species
CGAAGAACAGCAGAGCAGUCGUAGAAAAAGGAUGUGUGGAAGCGGAAAGGGCACUGCAUGGAAGCCAGCCUGCGCUGCUUGUGCCCCGGAAUCUGAUUCCCAAAAAGCACAUAGAUCGAGCCCACACGGGAAUGAAUCACUCGAGUGAAGCGUCCAUAAAAGAUCAGGCUCACAAGUUACAAGUAGUCAAGUACGGCUGCAAGCAAAGCGAAGCACACCAAAGCGAGCAUCAAGCAGCGCCUCGCACGCUAAUCCCUUCCUUUCCUCUGCUGGCCGCCCUUAACAGCACUCGGUCCUCGCUCUCCCUGCGGCGGCCUUUUUCACACUCUGCACCUCCUCCCCUCCGGCCAGUCGAAACCGUCGCCGCCGCCGCCGGGAGGAGAAGAGCUCCAUGGACUACAGGCAGUCCUACUGCAUGACCCUGAGGAUGAACAUCGACUGCAACGGGUGCUACCAGAGGAUCAGGAGGGCGCUCCUCCAGAUGCGAGAGCUGGAGAAACACCUGAUCGACAAGAAGCACGGCCGGGUCGUAGUGUGGGGCGCCUUCAGCCCGCAGGACGUGGCCAUCAAGAUCAGGAAGCGGACCAACCGCCGCGUCGAGAUCCUCGACCUCAGCGAGGCCUCGCCGGCAGCCCCAGAAGGCGGCCCCGACGGCCACAUGUCCUGAAGGAACCACGUCACCAAUACGUACUCUGGAGAACUGCUUGCUAUUCUCUUCACUCUUCACCAAGGCAGGCCCGCCUCAGAGGACGUAACCAUAUGCCUGCCUGGCAUCUUUUACCUUCUUGUAAUUUAGGAAUCCUGCAUCAUUUUGUUCUGUAACUGUGAAGGCUUGUUGAAGUAACCAGAAAAAAAAUCUAG